rnacentral:lncRNA from 1 species
UACCUGCAACUGGUAUUGUAGUAAUAUGUGAGCCACAGGGGACUCAGCAAUCUCAUUUCCAAAGGUAUCAAGACAAGCAAAACUUAAUGGGUGAGGCAUGGCUAAGUGGUGAGGUUGCAGCAGCGACUAAGCAUAUAUUUGGUGGCUACACUUACGAGUACAGGAAAUAAGAGGGGGAAGAUCUACGCAUAGCGGACGUGAACUACGGAUGAUCACAUGAAUGAUCCUGAACACCUACCUACGUCAGACAUAACCCCACCGUGUUCUCGAUCGGAGAAGGAACUCACAAAAGAGACAGUCACGGUUACAUACAUAGUUGGAUAAGAGAAGCGUACGGUGGCGUGAUAGAAAUCUCCCGACUUGCCCAAGGUUGGCCCUGCACGGUGCUCUGUUUUGGACCAGCACCAUCAGCACUGGCCCCCCUGUAUUAUGUAGAAUUACUCCUCGGGUAGCGCUAACUCCCUAUGCAUUUCAAAUUAACAAAAUUAUUAUGUUUGGCGAAUAGUACCAAUGUUGGGCCUUGCCAGACCAGCUUUAAUCUAAAACGAAUUAUCAAGGGGGUCCCCAUAACAACCCCGAUCGUGUUAGGAGCGCUCAAUUAUGGAACAUAACACCGGUAGCCGAAACUAAGGGGGCAAAGGUGGAACAAAACACCAGGCUAGAAAGGCCGAGUCUUCCACCUUUUACCAAGUAUAUAGGUGCAUUAAUUAAAUAGCAUUAAAUAUGGUGAUAUAACAAGGAACCCAUGUUAUCACAUGGUAGCAACUGCACCUGCAACUAGCAACGCUAACACAAGGUUAAGCAAGCGGUAACAUAGCCAAUCAGUGGUUUGCUAGGUUGAAGGUUUUUCAUGGCAUUGUUGAGAGGCUGAUAUUUAACAUGUGGUAGGCAACGAGACAUAUUCGAUAGAAAGGGUAAACUAGCAUGGCAAUGAUACUAAUGGUAUCUGGGGAAAUGGUCAUCUUGCCUGAGAUCCCGCUUGGAAGAAUAAUGCCUCCGUGAAGCGGACGAACCGACGUAGUCGAACGGGUCCUCACUUUCCGACACGCUUGCGGAACUC